rnacentral:rRNA from 1 species
GAUGAACGCUGGCGGCGUGCCUAAUACAUGCAAGUCGAGCGACCAGACGAGGAGAUUUCUCCUCUGCCGUUAGCGGCGGGCGGAUGGGUGACAAGUGGAUAAGCUACCUAUUUUUCUGGGGUAACUUCGGGAGGAAGGAGAUACUAACAGCUCAUAUGUUGUACCGGUUGGUUCAAUAGUGCAAGACAGUUUUGCUGUCACUUAUAGAUGGUUUCGGGUCGCAUUAGCUAGUUGGUAAGGUAACGGCCCACCAAGGCAACGAUGCGUAGCCGAUCUGAGAGGAUGAUCAGCCACACUGGAACUGAGACACGGUCCAGACUCCUACGGGAGGCAGCAGUGGGGAAUAUUGGACAAUGGGCGCAAGCCUGAUCCAGCAAUACCGCGUGGGUGAAGAAGGCCUUCGGGUUGUAAAGCCCUUUUGUUAGGAAAGAAAAGCAGCAGGUUAAUACACCGCUGUUCUGACGGUACCCAAAGAAUAAGCACCGGCUAACUUCGUG